AUGAGAGCUGCAAGAGGCACGGCGGAUGCCCCCACGCUCCUCGUCGUCCCAGGGCCGGGGACUCGCACCGCCUGCGCGGCUCCUGCGUUGUUCCUCCGCACCGUGGCUGGGUCACCGCAGCCCAGCCCGUGUCUCCCUGCCCGUCGCCGCCUCCGCAGCAGGAGCGCAGCCCCCCAGCACCCCGGUCCACGCUGCCUCCGAGCCGUCCGGAGCGGGAGGGCGAUGCUGCCGGGCGUCAGGCCUGCUCCGGGCCCACGGCUGCGGGGACAACGCGGCGGAGCAUGGAGGUACGGCCACCCCAGGGAGGGCUGCGCGUCCCCGGGCUCGGUGGGGGCUGCAGAGGGGCCGCGCGUGCCAGCCGGGAUCCCUCCAGCACCGGGGCCCUUGCUCCCAGGGGAAGGGGGCCAUCCCAGUGCCAGCCGGGGCUCCGUGUGCCGCCAGCACCAUGCCCCCCCCCRGCUCCCACUGCCUCCGCUGCAGGAGCCCUGGGCGGGGGUGGCACAGCCCCCCUGUGCCUCCAGCCGACCCGGCUCCCGGGGAUUGCGGGGUCCCACGGCUGCUACCUGCCAGGCGCCCUCCGUCGCUGGCGCCCGGGCCAUCGGCAUYGCUCCGCAGCUCAGGGCGCUCGUCGUCCGCCCGCCACCGCGGGGGGCGAGAUGGGCCGCGGCCGGGCUGCUGGGGGGCUGGGGCAGCGGCGGUGCCGCUCACCCGCACGGCGAGCGCUUGCUGCUCCCGCAGCAGCUCCAGGAACCGGCUGCUCCACAGCAGCUUCUCGGCGCCCAGCUCCGUGCUGAAGAAGCUGAUGUCGGCCUCCAGCGCCUCGAGCCUCCUCAGCACGGCGGCGCUGGUGUCCCGCAGCCGCUGCAGCUCCUCGGGGCCUGGCGGCAGCGGCGCCUCAGCAGCUGCCCCCGGCACGUCCCGGCCCCCGGCAUGCCCAGCCGGGCCCGGCCCGGGGCCCCGCAACCGACCUGCCUGCUCCGGGUGAGACGCGGAAGGGGCAGCGCCGUCCUCCUCGCUCGCCUCGCUGUCGCUCUCCAGCCUCAGCAGCACCGCCGAGCCGAGCUGAAAGCCGCGUCAGACAGCGGCGACCGACACGUCCGCGGGGCAGCGCGGGCUGCCGACCACCGGCCCGGCCGG
rnacentral:lncRNA from 1 species